UAGGGAACAAGCAUUAAACUGACACUCGAUUCUGUAGCCGGCUCUGCCAAGAGACAUGGCGUUGCGGUGAUAUGAGGGCAGGGGUCAUGGAAGAAAGCCUUCUGGUUUUAGACCCACAGGAAGAUCUGUGACGCGCUCUUGGGUAGAGCACACGUUGCUGGGCGUGCGCUUGAAAAGAGCCUAAGAAGAGGGGGCGUCUGGAAGGAACCGCAACGCCAAGGGAGGGUGUCCAGCCUUCCCGCUUCAACACCUGGACACUUUCAGGCAAGCCCAAGAAAGUCAGGGGCCUAUGUGAGCCAAAGAGGAGAGAAGGUGAUGCCUCAGCCCAGUGUUUCUGCCCCACCUCGCUUGUGGCCUUCGGAACUUGAUUUGCACCGCAGGAAAAUGGGCAAUGAAAACCCCUCCCUAACUGGCUUCUCAGUCCACUCUGACCAGCCCACUGCACAGCGCCCACCCUGCAGCUCCAGAUGAGGCCUCACUCUGUCACCCAGGUUGGGGUGGAGUGGCACAGUCACAGCUCACUAUAACCUCAAGCUCCUGGGCUCAAGUGAUCCUGCCACCUCAGCCUCCUAAGUAGCUGGAACUACAGAUGUGCACUGCCAUGCCAGGCUUGUCUAACAUUUUUAUGUGUUGCUUCAUCCAGUUUGCUAGAGUUUUUGGAGAUUUCUGUCUUCAUUCAUGAGGGAUAAUAGUCUGCACUUUUAUUUUCUUGUGAUACUUUUGUCUGAUUUGUUAUCUGGGUAAUACUGGCCUUGAAAAUGAAUUGAUGUUUUCCUGCUUCUCUGCUUUGCAAGUGUUUGUGAAGGAUUGGUUAUUCAUUAAGUGUUUAAUAGAAUUCACUAGUGAAGCUAUGUGAGCCAGGGCUAGACUGAUGAAGAGUUUUCAUUAGUCUAAUCUGUUUACUUGCUGUAUAAGUACGCAUAUAUUCUCUUUCUUCUUGAUUUAAUUUUACACUUUGUGUAUAGCAGGGAAUCUGUGUCUAAUUUGUAGUAUUUCAUGCUUCUAGGUUUUCAUGGCAGUUGAGAUGUAAGAAUAACAAUAAUGUUGGGAGAAGGAAGUUGUGGACAAUCCAUGAAUAUCCCAACAUCUGUUGUAGGAAGGUUAAGAUUACUUUUUUUUUUUUU
rnacentral:lncRNA from 10 species